rnacentral:rRNA from 1 species
GAUUAAGUUAUUAAGGGCGCACGGUGGAUGCCUGGCACUAGAAGCCGAUGAAGGACGUUACUAACGACGAUAUGCUUUGGGGAGCUGUAAGUAAGCUUUGAUCCAGAGAUUUCCCGAAUGGGGAAACCCAGCAUGAGUUAUGUCAUGUUAUCGAUAUGUGAAUACAUAGCAUAUCAGAAGGCACACCCGAGAACUGAAACAUCUUAGUACCCGGAGGAAGAGAAAGAAAAUUCGAUUCCCUUAGUAGCGGCGAGCGAAACGGGAAGAGCCCAAACCAACAAGCUUGCUUGUUGGGGUUGUAGGACACUCUAUACGGAGUUACAAAGGACGACAUUAGACGAAUCAUCUGGAAAGAUGAAUCAAAGAAGGUAAUAAUCCUGUAGUCGAAAAUGUUCCGUCUCUCUUGAGUGGAUCCUGAGUACGACGGAGCACGUGAAAUUCCGUCGGAAUCUGGGAGGACCAUCUCCUAAGGCUAAAUACUCUCUAGUGACCGAUAGUACCACCGUACCGUGAGGGAAAGGUGAAAAGCACCCCGGAAGGGGAGUGAAAUAGAACCUGAAGUGUGCUUACAAGUAGUCAGAGCCCGUUAAUGGGUGAUGGCGUGCCUUUUGUAGAAUGAACCGGCGAGUUACGAUUUGAUGCAAGGUUAAGCAGUAAAUGUGGAGCCGUGCGAAAGCGAGUCUGAAUAGGGCGUUUAGUAUUUGGUCGUAGACCCGAAACCAGGUGAUCUACCCUUGGUCAGGUUAAGUUCAGGUAACACUGAAUGGAGGACCGAACCGACUUACGUUGAAAAGUGAGCGGAUGAACUGCAGGGUAGCGGAAAUUCCAAUCGAACCUGGAGAUAGCUGGUUCUCUCCGAAAUAGCUUUAGGGCUAGCCUCAAGUGAUGAUUAUUGGAGUAGAGCACUGUUUGGACGAGGGGCCCCUCUCGGGUUACCGAAUUCAGACAAACUCCGAAUGCCAAUUAAUUUAACUGGGAGUCAGAACAUGGGUGAUAAGGUCCGUGUUCGAAAGGGAAACAGCCAGACCACCAGCUAAGGUCCAAAAUAUAUGUUAAGUGGAAAAGGAUGUGGCGUUGCCCAGACAACUAGGAUGUUGGCUUAGAAGCAGCCAUCAUUUAAAGAGUGCGUAAUAGCUCACUAGUCGAGUGACACUGCGCCGAAAAUGUACCGGGGCUAAACAUAUUACCGAAGCUGUGGAUUGUCCUUUGGACAAUGGUAGGAGAGCGUUCUAAGGGCGUUGAAGCAUGAUCGUAAGGACAUGUGGAGCGCUUAGAAGUGAGAAUGCCGGUGUGAGUAGCGAAAGACGGGUGAGAAUCCCGUCCACCGAUUGACUAAGGUUUCCAGAGGAAGGCUCGUCCGCUCUGGGUUAGUCGGGUCCUAAGCUGAGGCCGACAGGCGUAGGCGAUGGAUAACAGGUUGAUAUUCCUGUACCACCUAUAAUCGUUUUAAUCGAUGGGGGGACGCAGUAGGAUAGGCGAAGCGUGCGAUUGGAUUGCACGUCUAAGCAGUAAGGCU